AUUGAACGCUGGCGGUAGGCCUAACACCUGCAAGUCGAACGUGUGGCGGACGGGUGAGGAAUACAUCGGCAUCUACUCUCUCGUGGGGGCUAACGUAGGGAACCUUACGCUAAUACCGCAUACGAUUGAAUGAGCCGAUGUCGGGUUAGCUAGUUGGAGGGGGAAAGGCCCACCAAGGCGACACUGCGUAGCUGGUCUGAGAGGAUGAUCAGCCACACGGGAACCGAGACACGGUCCAGACUCCGACGGGAGGCAGCAGUGGGGAAUAUUGGACAAUGGGCGAAAGCCUGAACCAGCCAUACCGCGUGGGUGAAGAAGGCCUUCGGGUUGGAAAGCCCUUUUGUUGGGAAAGCGGUACCCAAAGAAUAAGCACCGGCUAACUUCGUGCCAGCAGCCGCGGUAAUUC
rnacentral:rRNA from 1 species